rnacentral:lncRNA from 1 species
GUCCCUCCUGAUAAUGUAACUCUAACGUGUGGGUAAAUAAUUUAUUACAGUUGUAUUCAUUAAAAAAAAACGUGCCUUACAUGUACAGGGAGAUUCUUUAGAUUUAGAGCUUUUAGUAUUGGUUCAAAUUUAGCACUGGCCCUUUUUUAUUGUAUCCGCUGUAUCUACAGAUGUAGUACAUCAAAAGCUUGAUGGAGACAAACCUGUACUUACUAGAGGCUGAAGUCACAGUUUACAGUAGGUGUGAAUUUUUCACUAGUAGGCUGAAAACAAAAGGUAAUGAGUAACCUGGUGAAUCUUCCAUUUUAGUCCCUUCUUCACAGCUGUGUGUUUCCUCUGGCUGGAUUCAUGCUGUGGCAGCCAUUUCAGAAACUGCUACGUCUUCUGACAGGUCUCCUUUGUGAUGAAGAAAAUAAUUGCAUUUGUGCUCCUCUUCAGCUUGAAAUCCCAUACAUCCUGCUUUUCCCACAGAUGGCCCAAGGAAGACUCCUGCUUUCACAGAGCAGAUGGAUGGCUGUGUGACCAGGGCCCAAGCUAAAAGCAAUGGCACUGAUUUUAUUUGCACAUUAGCAUAACUCAGCGGACUUCAGCCAACAUGAAUUUUACUGACAUUAAUAUCAGUGAAGAAAUUAUCGAAGUGGAUCUGUCUGCAGUGGAUAUUUUACUGAUCUCUUCUAUGAUGUCCUCUUUAUCUGUCCUUUUUUUAAGCUUAGCGUAAGCAGAUGUUAUUACUUCUUGCUGUCCCAGGUAGCCUGGGAAGAUGUUGCUUUUCUUUUAAAUUCUGUACAAAGUAGUAGUGAUAUUUACUUCUGUUAGAUUUGUAAUGAACAUCAGUUUUGAUCUGUUUGUGUGGAUUUGGAGCUGGACACUUCUCAAACAUUCAUACUUAAAGCAUUAGAACUCUUUGUAACCUGUUGCAGCUGAGGUCAGAGCUACACCUACUGAGACAGGGGGUAAAAAUUGGUGAGUGGGUGUGGACAGGGAAAAGACAGAAAAGUGAUGUUUUAAAUAAAAAAAUAAAUGCAAACCUCA